rnacentral:rRNA from 1 species
ACGAACGCUGGCGGCAUGCCUAACACAUGCAAGUCGAACGAGACCUUCGGGUCUAGUGGCGGACGGGUGAGUAACGCGUGGGAACCUGCACUUCAGUGGGGGAUAACGACGGGAAACUGUCGCUAAUACCGCAUACGCCCUACGGGGGAAAGAUUUAUCGCUGAAGGAUGGGCCCGCGUCGGAUUAGCUAGUUGGUGAGGUAACGGCUCACCAAGGCGACGAUCCGUAGCUGGUCUAAGAGGAUGAUCAGCCACACUGGGACUGAGACACGGCCCAGACUCCUACGGGAGGCAGCAGUGGGGAAUAUUGGACAAUGGGGGAAACCCUGAUCCAGCAAUGCCGCGUGAGUGAUGAAGGCCUUAGGGUUGUAAAGCUCUUUCGGUGGUGACGAUGAUGACGGUAACCACAGAAGAAGCCCCGGCUAACUCCGU